AGUCAUUUAAUUGAUGACUUGUAUGAAGGAUUGGAUGAAAUAUAAACUGUCUNUUAAUUAUUGAAUAGAAUUUAAUUUUUUAAUUAAAAAGUUAAAAUAUAUUAAAAAGNCGAGAAGNCCCNAUAGAUUUUUAUAAAAAAUUUAGUUAAUAUUAUUUAUGAAAAAUUAAAAUUAAAAUUAAAUUUAUUUAUUGUAUUGGGGNGAUAGAAAAAUAUAAAAAACUUUUUAUAUAUUAAAACNUUUAUAAGNGGUAAAUGAUCCAAUAUUAUUGAUUAUAAGAAAAAAUUNCCUUAGGGAUAACAGCGUAAUUUUUUUUUUUAGUUCGUAUAAGAAAAAGAGUUUGCGACCUCGAUGUUGGAUUAAGAUAAAAUUUAAAUGC
rnacentral:rRNA from 1 species